rnacentral:rRNA from 1 species
ACAAUGCGGAGGAUCAUUA